AGUUCGGAUUGUAGGCUGAAACUCGCCUACAUGAAGCUGGAGUUACUAGUAAUCGCAGAUCAGAAUGCUGCGGUGAAUGCGUUCCCGGGUCUUGUACACACCGCCCGUCACACCACGGGCGUUGGAGACGCCCGAAGCCGAUUAUCUAACCUUUUGGAAGAAGUCGUCGAAGGUGGAAUCAAUAACUGGGGUGAAGUCGUAACAAGGUAGCCGUAUCGGAAGGUGCGGCUGGAUCACCUCCUUUCUAAGGAGA
rnacentral:rRNA from 1 species